rnacentral:rRNA from 1 species
CCUACGGGAGGCAGCAGUGAGGAAUAUUGGUCAAUGGCCGGAAGGCUGAACCAGCCAAGCCGCGUGAAGGACGAAGGUGCCAAGCAUUGUAAACUUCUUUUGUCAAGGGACAAAAUCAGGCUCGAGAGCCUGACCGAGGGUACUUGAAGAAAAAGCAUCGGAUAACUCGGUGCAAGCAGCCACGGUAAUACGGAGGAUGCGAGCGUUAUCCGGCUUUAUUGGGUUUAAAGGGUGGGUAGUCGGACUGUUAAGUCAGCGGUAAAAGCCCGGGGCUAAACCCCGGCCGGCCGUUGAAACUGGCUGUCGUGAGAAGUCGAGAGGUAUGCGGAAUGCGCGGUGUAGCGGUGAAAUGCUUAGAUAUUGAGAAGAACUCCGAUUGCGAAGGCGGCAUGCCGGCGGCGAUCUGACGCUGAGGCACGAAAGCGUGGGUAGCGAACAGGAUUAGAUACCCUAGUAGUC